UACGAAGGGUGCAAGCGUUACUCGGAAUUACUGGGCGUAAAGCGUGCGUAGGUGGUUUGUUAAGUCUGAUGUGAAAGCCCUGGGCUCAACCUGGGAAUUGCAUUGGAUACUGGCAGGCUAGAGUGCGGUAGAGGAUGGCGGAAUUCCCGGUGUAGCAGUGAAAUGCGUAGAGAUCGGGAGGAACAUCUGUGGCGAAGGCGGCCAUCUGGACCAGCACUGACACUGAGGCAUGAAAGCGUGGGGAGCAAACAGG
rnacentral:rRNA from 1 species